GCGGGUAUAGCAUAGUGGUAAUGCGUCAGCCUUCCAAGCUGAUGAGAGGGGUUCGAUUCCCCUUACCCGCUCCA
rnacentral:tRNA from 1 species